GAUCCUGGCUCGGGGUGAACGCUGGCGGCGUGCUUAACACAUGCAAGUCGAGCGAAGCACUCUGCUUUGAUUCUUUCGGGAUGAAGAGCAUCGUGACUGAGCGGGCGGACGGGUGAGUAACGCGUGGGUAACCUGCCUCAUACAGGGGGGAUAACAGUUAGAAAUGGCUGCUAAUACCGCAUAAGACCACAGCACCGCAUGGUGCAGGGGUAAAAACUCCGGUGGU
rnacentral:rRNA from 1 species